UACGUAGGGUCCGAGCGUUUGUCCGGAAUUAUUGGGCGUAAAGGGCUCGUAGGCGGUCUGUCGCGUCUGCUGUGAAAACUCAGGGCUUAACCCUGAGCUUGCAGUGGGUACGGGCAGACUAGAGUGCGGUAGGGGAGACUGGAAUUCCUGGUGUAGCGGUGGAAUGCGCAGAUAUCAGGAGGAACACCGAUGGCGAAGGCAGAUCUCUGGGCCUAACU
rnacentral:rRNA from 1 species